CGCCGUGCCGUCAAUCCUAACGUUAUCGGCUGCUUUCUGGCGUUGGCGCCUCGUCGACAUCUUGCCUGCGUCCAACUGCAGCUAGCAACGUGCGCGUUCAGUUACGUCACGCCUCGUGUGUCUCCUGGUUUACUGCGCACCCUCGACCGCCGCCAUCUUGACGCCGACGGCUGCCGACGACCCCGCCGGACUUACGGACGGCCAACAUACCUGGUCUUCUCCGCGCCGCCUUGGAACCUUACGGAAGGGGUCCACUAUGUACCUGUAGUCUCCUCCUCCAAUGGCCAAAGCGGCGCCGGAUGGCGUCAUCAGCCAAUUCCCCUCUUCCUGCUCCUCAUCCUUCAUAUUGCGCCUCCACGGGGUCCUCCACCGGUCACCCUCCUGCGAAUCCGGGGCAACACCUCCCACCCUGCCCACCUCCCUGUCCUCCCCUUCCACAUUGACAUAGUGCAAGGAAUCCUUGUGGGCGCGGGAGGGGGACAAGCUGAGCCACAGCGCCUCCAACAUGCCGACCAGAUGCUGGAAAGUGGGCCGACAUUUGGGGACCGGACUCCAGCAGCUGUGCAUGAUGUCAUAGCUGAGGGUCACAUGACAACAUCCGAGUGCUUCUUCAGGCGUUCUCCUCGGAUCAAAUACUCGUAGAUCUCGGAGUUCUCCACUCCCGGAUACGGAGUCUGACCCCGGGUCAUGACCUCCCACAUGAAGCCCCUGAGAGACUGAGCCUAGAUUCCAGUCGGAUCAGAACGCAGCUUACGUUUCAGCCUGGUAAAGGAUUGUGGGAAGGUGAGUUUGUGAUUUGGAGUUAGCAUUACGCUAACGACUUCCCAAACAUGGACCUACUGAAGUGAAAGCGGUGAAACAUAAAUUGGAUCGGUUCUGGUCCUUGAGUGUCUCGAUCAAGAACACCUCAGUAGUACUCAAAAAGCCAGCUGGUCUCCAAAGGACACGGGUCAGCCAUCGUGGCUCACGGGUGGCCAUGAAGGACACCAGCCGAACAUCUGAGUUGUGGCUUAUAGUACCACUUGUAGUACUACUCUUACGGAUACUACUUGUUUCCAUCAUGGCAACCAGUGUCAAACUGGUAUUUCUCCUGGUCCUGCGACGCACCUAUGGAAUGUCUCCCAGUGCUUCUCUCCCAGCAUGAUGAACAUCUGGUCAGUGGUGAGAAGCUUGCGUCCGUCCUUCAUCCAAAUGAUGUCGGGUUCCAUGAGACCUUCCACGGCGCAGCCCAGGCGCACCGUGUUUCCUUGAGAUGCCGUCUGAUUGAUGGGAUGUUUGAUGAACGUCACACCUGACAGGAACGCCACAUGUUAUGUUAUGUUCUCUCUCACAGACACACACACACACACACAAGCCUGAAGAUGACAUCAUCACGCUUCCCGCGCAGCGAUGAUGUCAUCUUCUGCUGGCUUGAUGACGUCACUAGUGUCUCCAAACACGGUCUCGUGGAAAAAGUGGACACUUCCAACAGUAUGAAUGAAAAUCUAUGCAAUAUGAGGCAAGAGAUGCUAUGUUAUGCUGUGAUAAUUCGCUGUCCAUCAAGUCAACGCGAGACAAGAAGUUUGUGGAGGAAGUGCACGUGCAUCCAAAUAUUUAAAGACAACCGAGCGGACUCACCGCCGGCACACAUCCCGUCCGAAGUCAGCAGAACCAAGAGUAGAAGCUCCCCAAGCAUGUCUGCUGUUGUUUGCUCCUCCAGGCGGGUCAGUGCACGUCGUGUGCGACAAAGAGCACUUUGAAGGCAGCCUGCGCUCGCGGACACACGCACGCGCCAGCUUCCAUUCAAUUUGGGGUUUUCGUGCUACACAAAAAACAAACAAAAAAAAAAAAAACCCACAGCGACUUCGAAAUUCACCAAACUUCGAGACGAGCCCCCAGUGUUUUGCCGAGAUUGUGAAGAUGACGUCAAACGACGUGCUCAAACUCCAUACCGGAUAUGGCACCCCACGCCUUCAAAAUAAGAUCGCUAUUUAGUACUGCUUUAACAAAUUAUUGACAUUCAAAGCUAUUUCCAGCUGUGAACUAAAGACUUAAAUAAAUACAUAGUAAAAACUCAAAUGUAAUAUAUUACAUUUAAUAAACAAUAUCGAUUCUACGGUAUAAUUUCCCAAAUACACAUACACAUACAAAUAAACAAAGACAAGUAUGUGUCAAAUGUUAUGGCGUUCUUAUAAAGUUUUAUUGUCGACCUCAAAACAGGAGUAUUAGAUUCCAACACAGUUCAACUGGCACACUUGUCUCCUCUUCUCUCUCCCGUCCUGGUUCACCAAUCACUUUCACAACGAGGUGCGUUCACGGACAUCAGAAUGUAGAACAUCGACGUCAUAUCACCAACACACGUCGUUACGAUAGGGACAACCGCAAUUGUGCACAUUGAAAUUGUAGUUCCACAAAAUAUAUAUUGAUGCUGCUUUAUGCAACUUUAAUUUAAUACAUAAUUGGCUAAAUAAUUUGGCUAAAUGGACAUUACGUGAUAAAAAGUACAGAUUCAACUGAAAUUGAAGAACAGAAAAUAGUUAAUGGCAUUGAUAAAAUAUAUUUUUUGCAUGCAUUCCCAAGUUGCUAGUAGUUGUAUUCAACUAUGUAUAUGAAUAAUUUGACACACUAUAUGAUGGCAGUUAUGUUAUGUUUAUGUUACGAGCUGCAAGCAGUCAAGUUCAUGCAGCAGUUGUGUUUAUGAACAUUUUUGGUUUUGAAAUGUAUUAUUUUUCAAAGUUAAAAAAAAGAUAAAGGAAAACGUUUCAUUCACACUGCUGCUCGGGUUUUUAUUGACAUCUACAUGUAGGUCAUAUUGUACAGAAAAUUGAUUAUUACAAAUUGUGUAUAUAUGCACUAUAAAUAACAAUCCUUCAUUUCAUCAAAGUGCACUCACUGCACAUAAUUAAAUCCGCUCAGAGCACCUAAAUACAUUGUAAACUGUCGUGAUGCUAGCACCACCCAAAUGGCUUCCUUAACAUAGCAGACCUUCUGUUCCAUUGCACACGCUCCAUACGCUCUACCACAUGCAUUGUCAUGUCUUUGGUUGCAACCAUACGACCUCCAGGCAAUCCUUGUCCCGUCCGGUUGACGCGUCGGGGACGCGCAAUGAAUAAACACAACAUACGCUUGUCAGAUUAAUGCAAAUAACGGUGCAUGCCAUUGAAAUGAUUUGCUCCAAUUGAAUGAGUGUGCAUGGUGUGUUGCAUCCAGCAAUAUUAAUACAAUUGACUAAAUAUCGUGCGUUGGUUCAGUACUUACUCGGAGGUAGGGUUUUUAUUUCGCAAUUCAUUAGUGUCAUGACAAAGUAACCGGAAGCAGGACUAACUCAACAGCGGUGACGAAAGCUAAUAACAUUGAUGUGACUUAUUAAUCAUUAUGCAAAUGAGUAUGAGGGGAGGGGCUUACCUCCAUUCCCAACAUUUAACAUCACGUUCUUACAUCAUCUUCCACAGGAAGUGUCUAAUAAUAACUACCUGCUUCACUUCCAGUUUUUACUCACUUCCUGCUAACAAAUGCAUCAGACUAGCAAAUACAUCGUCAUGGCAACUUCUUGUGUUCCUCCAAAUGACAAAAGUCACUCGGAGCACCACUUCCUGUCGUAAAGCAUCUGGUCAUCGGUUCCGUGGGAAAAACAUUGGAAUGAUCUCAGCCGUCCUUCCACUACUUCCUGACUGUCUGUGCCCAGGAAUGCCCCGCCCAUUUGUGUCACAUGGCAGCAGUAUAAGAGGAGGAGGAGGAGGGGGCCGCUUUCAGGCAAACUUCUUCUUGGUGGCGGUGAAACGCUCCAUGUACUGAGGAGGGAAGACAUUACAGUCAUGUUGGCUUUCCUGCUGUCUGAUUGGCUCUGACCGGGUGGCAACCAACCAAUCCACUUCACGAUAUGCAGUAGUGUGAAAAAGGUGUUUGCCCCCUUCCUGAUUUCUUAUUUUUUUUUGUAUGUUUGUCAAACUUAAAUGUUGCAUUUCAUUAAAUUAAUUUAAACUAAAAUGUUAUGUGGAUAUGCUUACCC